GUAGGUGGCAAGCGUUGUCCGGAAUUAUGGGCGUAAAGCGCGCGCAGGCGGGGUUCGUUUAAGUCUGAUGUGAAAGCCCACGGGCUCAACCGUGGAGGGUCAUUGGAAACUGGAGAACUUGAGUACAGAAGAGGAAAGCGGAAUUCCACGUGUAGCGGUGAAAUGCGUAGAGAUGUGGAGGAACACCAGUGGCGAAGGCGGCUUUCUGGUCUGUAACUGACGCUGAGGCGCGAAAGCGUGGGGAGCAAACAGGAUUAGAUACCCUGGUAGUCCACGCCGUAAACGAUGAGUGCUAAGUGUUAGGGGGGUUUCCGCCCCUUAGUGCUGCAGCUAACGCAUUAAGCACUCCGCCUGGGGAGUACGGCCGCAAGGCUG
rnacentral:rRNA from 1 species